rnacentral:rRNA from 1 species
UUAAGCAUAUUAAUAAGCGGAGGAAAAGAAACUAACAAGGAUUCCCUUAGUAACGGCGAGCGAAAAGGGAAGAGCCCAGCGCUGAAUCUUGUGCCCCCCCGGGUGCAAAGAAAUGUGGCGUUUGGGACGGGACAUUGCCCGUGCAUGAUGGUUAACUAAGUCCCUCUUGAACGGGGCCAUAGCCCAUGGAGGGUGCUAGGCCCGUAUGUUAACCUUGUUGUGCGGUGCGUCCUGUCCGUAGAGUCGGGUUGCUUGGGAGUGCAGCCCAAAUUCGGUGGUAAACUCCAUCUAAGGCUAAAUAUGACCACGAGACCGAUAGCGAACAAGUACCGUGAGGGAAAGUUGAAAAGAACUUUGAAGAGAGAGUUCAAUAGUACGUGAAACCUCUCGGGGGUAAGCGGGCAGAACUUGCAAGUUUUGUCGAGAGUAUUCAGGCUUAAUGUGUCGGCGACUGAGGGUGCUUUAUGAUGCUGUCCGUUCGCGGGUUGGCAAAUGUGUGCCCUUUGGCUUGCUGACGGUGCGCCGCAUUUACUCUCGUCAUCGGGUUGCAUGUGACUGAGUCGUGUAGUUUAGGUGCUGGGGAUCUGCGAAGCCUUGUUGUUUCGAGCCCCGGUCUCCAACUACUGCUGCGGUCAUUUUGUCACGAUGAGCAGGCGUUUAGUCGCGGUCAACACUCUGCACGAGUUGUGUGCGCAUGGCGUGUGGACGGGCAACCGUAGCACGUUGUGCGAGGCUGAUUGUCGGUGUGGGGUGUUUGGCUCUGCUCAGUUGAUAUUGCAAUCU